UAGUUGUGUGUGCAUGCACAUGUGUGAACACACACAUGCAUAUACAAACCUAACUCAGUUUGAAAGGUAAAC
rnacentral:miRNA from 12 species